UACGGAGGGGGCUAGCGUUGUUCGGAAUUACUGGGCGUAAAGCGCACGAGGCGGAUCAGCAAGUUAGGGGUGAAAUCCCGGGGCUCAACCCCGGAACUGCCUUUAAAACUGUUGGUCUGGGAGUCCGAGAGAGGUGAGUGGAAUUCCGAGUGUAGAGGUGAAAUUCGUAGAUAUUCGGAGGAACACCAGUGGCGAAGGCGGCUCACUGGUCCAUUACUGACGCUGAGGUGCGAAAGCGUGGGGAGCAAACAGGG
rnacentral:rRNA from 1 species